GAGAUGUGGCAGACCGAAUGGCCCAUCACUCAGAAGUCAUGUGCACAGCCGUGGAGACCCAGUGUGGAGAAUCACUUCUGCAGGGACACAGAAAUGCGCUGCCCAGGGCGAGACAGAGGCUGGACAGGAGACUUGCCUCAGAGACAGCUGCACCAAAUCUGCUGCCACCGCUGUACACACUGGGCAUUGAGCUCGGUUUGAGAGAGGCCCUACAGCUAAAACUGGAGUAGCCCUGGCCCAGGAGCACAGAGACUGCCUUUCUCCCUACAACCCCUGUUUUCAUCGAGCCACAUAGUGAAAAGCCUUCAGUGCUAUUCCACACUGCUUACCUUUGAUACUGUUUGAUGUUUCUUUCAGCAGCUAGAUGCACUUUUAACUAAUAACAGCUAAAACACUUGAUUUCUUUUCUAUCUCUUCAGAAUUAUAGGUAACACUGCAAAGGUUAUUGCUCAUGGAUCUUUUUUUUUUUUUAACUAGGGUUACCCGAUAAAUUACUUUACUGAAGGAAAUGGUCCAAGGCUUUAGUGGAUGCUUUCUGCAUGACUUUUCCCUGUUCAUUGGUUCUCCACAUCAGUCCUCAUUGAUAUUCUCAAUAACCUAAAGCCUGGGUCUAUUUUAGAGUCCUUUACAUUUUGUUUUCUGUUUUGUUUUUCUUAAAGGGGGGAGUAUUCUAAUUGGUGAUGUCAACAAUAAAUGCUGUUAUCUUUCAUUUGUUUAGUCUAAUUUACAUAAUUUUUAAAAGAACUUCUUUGGUGUUUUCUCUUGGCU
rnacentral:lncRNA from 1 species